UACCUGGUUGAUCCUGCCAGUAGUCAUAUGCUUGUCUCAAAGAUUAAGCCAUGCAAGUCUAAGUACGAGCUCUCGUACAGUGAAACUGCGAAUGGCUCAUUAAAUCAGUUAUGGUUCAUUUGAUCGUACAGUUUACUUGGAUAACUGUGGUAAUUCUAGAGCUAAUACAUGCGAGAAGCGCCGACCUCGCGGGAGGCGUGCAUUUAUCAGACCAAAAACCGGCCGCGUCUUCGGGCGCGUUCGCCUUGGUGACUCUGGAUAACUUUGCGGAUCGCACGGUCUAGCACCGGCGACGGAUCAUUCAAGUGUCUGCCCUAUCAACUUUCGUCGGUAC
rnacentral:ncRNA from 1 species